UUAUUUUUUAUUUCGAUUCACAAUACCACAUAGUUUACCAAUAUGAUAAAUAAAUGGUAAAUAAUACCACACAAUGCCAGAGUCCAACAGUCCAACAAUUUCUUUGUGUAUUACAUAGCAGUUGAUUAAAGUCAGGUUUUAAUGUGCAGGGGUUGAAGUGGGAAGAGGAAGAGGCCUGCUCUGGGUGCCAUGAAUGUGGAAACUGAACUAUCGUCAUAUGUAGUGACAGAUUACCAUUACAGGAAACCUAGUGUUAUAGCAUGCAGACAUGGUAGUCAUGAUACUGAACUCAUGAUACUGUCAAGACAAUACAAUGAAGGGUUACAGCCUACAGAUUGCACAAUGGAACAAUUGCUGUAGUUGAAGGAAUACAAAUAGAAAAACAUUUUGUAUGAAGCAUUGUGAAAUCCCAUAUCACCAACAACAGCAUUAUGUACAGUACUUUGCAAAAGUUUUAGGCAGGUGUGAAAAAAUGCUGCAAACAAAGAAUGCUUUCAAAAAUGGAAGUGUUAAACAUUUAUUUUCAUAAAUGAACAAAAUGCAGU